UUGAACGCUGGCGGCGUGCUUAACACAUGCAAGUCGAUCGGUAACAGGUGUAGCAAUACAUGCUGACGAGAGGCGGACGGGUGAGUAAUGCUUGGGAAUCUGCCUAUUAGUGGGGGACAACCCGGGGAAACUCGGGCUAAUACCGCAUACGCUCUACGGAGGAAAGCCGGGGACCGCAAGGCCUGGCGCUAAUAGAUGAGCCCAAGUCGGAUUAGCUAGUUGGUAGGGUAACGGCCUACCAAGGCGACAAUCCGUAGCUGGUCUGAGAGGACGACCAGCCACACCGGAACUGAGACACGGUCCGGACUCCUACGGGAGGCAGCAGUGGGGAAUAUUGGACAAUGGGGGCAACCCUGAAUCCAGCGACGCCGCGU
rnacentral:rRNA from 1 species